rnacentral:pre_miRNA from 14 species
UUAAAUGGGUUAACAUCUCAAACCAUUAAAUUAAAUGAGUUAUAGGUUGACCCAACACAUUUAACAAAAUGAGUUGGGUCAACCCAUAACUCAUUUAUUCUUAAACUCAUUUGAUUAUAAGU